GGGGAAAGAACCCCAUUGAUGCAGGUGGAUUCUUUACCACUGAGCCAUCGGGGAAGAAGAGGAACAGGAGGUGAUAAAGUGGAGAGUCCACUGUAGAGACAACUCAUUCCAGAAGCAGAGUUUUCAUCGUCAUCACCUCCCAAAGGGGUAAGUACUACCAUCCCCAUUUUACAGAUAAAGAAACUGAAUCUUGGAGAAGGCUGACACUUAGCUCAGGUUCUCAGUGGGAUGGAACCCAGGUGGGCCCAAUUCCAAUUGAGCCAAUAGAGUCAGAGGGAGGAGGGUAGCAGCUUGAGAUUGGGAUCCAGGAGAGAGCAGAGCGAGAGGGCAGAUGGAAAAGAGAGUCACCA
ensembl:lncRNA